rnacentral:rRNA from 1 species
UUAACUGAAUCCAUAGGUUAAUGAGGCGAACCGGGGGAACUGAAACAUCUAAGUACCCCGAGGAAAAGAAAUCAACCGAGAUUCCCCCAGUAGCGGCGAGCGAACGGGGAGCAGCCCAGAGCCUGAAUCAGUGUGUGUGUUAGUGGAAGCGUCUGGAAAGGCGCGCGAUACAGGGUGACAGCCCCGUACACAAAAAUGCACAUAUUGUGAGCUCGAUGAGUAGGGCGGGACAC